UCCGUUCGAUUGAAAUUAGGAAGCAAUCCUAACCAUUUUGGAUUCAACAAACUAAAUCUUAAUCCUAGCCCAAGUAGUAAAGCCCAAGUUAAAUAAACUACCAAGUAAACCCAUAACCCUCUCCUUGUUUUUACUUCACGUAAAACUCAAAUCCCAAACCCUCCUUAUUCCUCCUCCUUCACGUGAAACCAACCUCCUCCCUCUCCUCCUUGCAGCCCCCUCUCCGCCUGCGUCAACCACCAUCAACAGCCGCCGCCGCGACCACCCUUCCACCUGCACGCCGCCGUCGGUAACUCUCCUCUCCCCUCUGUUUCUUCUUCGAUCUCCCUUUCCGUUUAUCACUCCUCCUCUCCCCUUAAUUGUGGCUUUCGUUUUUCGCACAACCACCACCGAGGACCACCAGCAUUCGUCACUACGCCCAGCCACGCACCACCGUGUGCGGCUCUGCCACCAGCCGUCCUCCGUCGAUACCUCUUCCUCUUCCCUUUCGUUUUCUUUUGUUCCCUUUCGUUCCCCUUUCCCUUGUUGUUUAUUCAUCCUCCUCACUCGUGUUAUGUUGUUGCGGCAGCCACCACCGCGCGCACCACCGCCCCAUUGCCGCGCGCACCACCGCCCCAUUGCCGCCGCGCCGCCGCGCCGCUGAACCACCUCCGGCCAGCCUUCUUUCCUUCUCUCUUUUGGCGGAGAAUUCUUUGUGGGCGACUUUUGAAAGUGUUAAAGUGGCCUAUCAGUUUGUUUACACAAGUCUCUAAGGACCAAUAAGCGUUGCCCAUCUACAGGUUUGAAGAUGAUGCAUCAUUGGGAUCGGGAUUAGAGAGCUUGUAGUUCUAUUCGUUUAAUUAAGUGAUUUAAUUUGUUAACUUGGAUUUGAAAUUUGUCGUACUAUUCGUAUUUCCUUAAUUCAGUUAAUUGGUUUGGACCUAAUAUGUAAUAGAUUAUUUAUGAACCUAAAAGUUAGUUUUAUGUUUUCCGCUGCAAAA